rnacentral:rRNA from 1 species
AUUGAACGCUGGCGGCAGGCCUAACACAUGCAAGUCGAGCGGUAGCACAGAGAGCUUGCUCUCGGGUGACGAGCGGCGGACGGGUGAGUAAUGUCUGGGAAACUGCCUGAUGGAGGGGGAUAACUACUGGAAACGGUAGCUAAUACCGCAUAAUGUCGCAAGACCAAAGUGGGGGACCUUCGGGCCUCAUGCCAUCAGAUGUGCCCAGAUGGGAUUAGCUAGUAGGUGGGGUAACGGCUCACCUAGGCGACGAUCCCUAGCUGGUCUGAGAGGAUGACCAGCCACACUGGAACUGAGACACGGUCCAGACUCCUACGGGAGGCAGCAGUGGGGAAUAUUGCACAAUGGGCGCAAGCCUGAUGCAGCCAUGCCGCGUGUGUGAAGAAGGCCUUCGGGUUGUAAAGCACUUUCAGCGGGGAGGAAGGCGGUGAGGUUAAUAACCUUGUCGAUUGACGUUACCCGCAGAAGAAGCACCGGCUAACUCCGUGCCAGCAGCCGCGGUAAUACGGAGGGUGCAAGCGUUAAUCGGAAUUACUGGGCGUAAAGCGCACGCAGGCGGUCUGUCAAGUCGGAUGUGAAAUCCCCGGGCUCAACCUGGGAACUGCAUUCGAAACUGGCAGGCUAGAGUCUUGUAGAGGGGGGUAGAAUUCCAGGUGUAGCGGUGAAAUGCGUAGAGAUCUGGAGGAAUACCGGUGGCGAAGGCGGCCCCCUGGACAAAGACUGACGCUCAGGUGCGAAAGCGUGGGGAGCAAACAGGAUUAGAUACCCUGGUAGUCCACGCCGUAAACGAUGUCGAUUUGGAGGUUGUGCCCUUGAGGCGUGGCUUCCGGAGCUAACGCGUUAAAUCGACCGCCUGGGGAGUACGGCCGCAAGGUUAAAACUCAAAUGAAUUGACGGGGGCCCGCACAAGCGGUGGAGCAUGUGGUUUAAUUCGAUGCAACGCGAAGAACCUUACCUGGUCUUGACAUCCACAGAACUUUCCAGAGAUGGAUUGGUGCCUUCGGGAACUGUGAGACAGGUGCUGCAUGGCUGUCGUCAGCUCGUGUUGUGAAAUGUUGGGUUAAGUCCCGCAACGAGCGCAACCCUUAUCCUUUGUUGCCAGCGGUUCGGCCGGGAACUCAAAGGAGACUGCCAGUGAUAAACUGGAGGAAGGUGGGGAUGACGUCAAGUCAUCAUGGCCCUUACGACCAGGGCUACACACGUGCUACAAUGGCAUAUACAAAGAGAAGCGACCUCGCGAGAGCAAGCGGACCUCAUAAAGUAUGUCGUAGUCCGGAUUGGAGUCUGCAACUCGACUCCAUGAAGUCGGAAUCGCUAGUAAUCGUAGAUCAGAAUGCUACGGUGAAUACGUUCCCGGGCCUUGUACACACCGCCCGUCACACCAUGGGAGUGGGUUGCAAAAGAAGUAGGUAGCUUAACCUUCGGGAGGGCGCUUACCACUUUGUGAUUCAUGACUGGGGUGA